AAAGCUGUAAGCUAAAGAAUGAAUGCAGUCAUCAAGUUUGGUUUUGUAUUGUAGCCCCCUCACUCCCUCCCGAAGACUUUCGCUUGUCCACUUCCUUUGAAAAUUGUUCCUAUGCUUACUCCUAGUCUGUAUUAUACAGGGUUCACAGUCGGGUUCGUCUAGGCUGUCACUUGAGCCACCUUCUGUUACGCCAUCAGCAAAGGAUGGAUCGCCAUCAACUAUAUCGACUGAUCAACCAUCUCCAUCGACAUCUGGUGGAUCUGUCCAGGAGAGUAGAACCAAUGGAUCUAGUUCUGGCUUGUUUGGGCUGGGUAGGUUAUCUGGCGUCUAUGCUCCAUUUCUGAGCAGAACUCGGAGUGCCACAGAUUCAGUAGUCCAACAAACUCGUUCGACUAGUUAACAGUAAUAACAUGUCCUUUCUUUCUCUUCUUAUUCUGCAGUAAACAACUAUAGAUUAUUGGACCUAUGGUGGGGGUGAAAAUCCUCACCAGUUGGUGUCUGUUCAAAAGACGUAUGCACCAUCAAUUAUAGUAUGCCCAGGCCAGAUUAUAAACUGUCUGGGCAAUUGAAUUUUGCAGAGAUGUUUCUCUCGAGUUUCAUUAGGAUUAAAAUUAAAUAAGAAUCUCCAAUAUUGAACUGGGAAAGCUGGUCAAGGAAAGAGGGACUAUUGAGUCGUCGUGAACUCUUUUUGUUCAGCCUAUUACUUUGUGAAUUUUAUACAAAUCUUGUUAACAAAUUUUCGCAUAGCUCUAAUAAUACAAUGACGGCCUUAGAAACCGUUGUAA